GGGCAGAUUUAAAUAAAAAGGCAGGAGGACAUUUGGUUUCAACCAGGUUUCACAUAAACUAAUCACAUCUAAACGAUGUUCCAAAAUUAGGCUAUUAAUAAACACUGAUUUAGAGGACAAUGACCU